AGGGAAUAUUGGGCAAUGGAUGCAAGUCUGACCCAGCCAUGCCGCGUGCCGGAUGAGGGCCCUCAGGGUUGUAAACGGCUUUUAUUCGGGAAGAAGAUCAGGGGUGCGCCCCUGUGUGACGGUACCGAAUGAAUAAGCACCGGCUAACUCCGUGCCAGCAGCCGCGGUAAUACGGAGGGUGCGAGCGUUGUCCGGAUUUAUUGGGUUUAAAGGGUGCGUAGGUGGCUUUUUAAGUCAGUGGUGAAAUACAGCCGCUCAACGGUUGAGGUGCCAUUGAUACUGAAGAGCUUGAAACAAGUGGAGGCUGCCGGAAUGGAUGGUGUAGCGGUGAAAUGCAUAGAUAUCAUCCAGAACACCGAUUGCGAAGGCAGGUGGCUACGUUUGAUUUGACACUGAGGCACGAAAGCAUGGGGAGCAAAC
rnacentral:rRNA from 1 species